rnacentral:rRNA from 1 species
GAUGAACGCUGGCGGCGUGCCUAAUACAUGCAAGUCGAGCGAACAGACGAGAGUGCUUGCACUCUCUGACGUUAGCGGCGGACGGGUGAGUAACACGUGGGUAACCUACCUAUAAGACUGGGAUAACUUCGGGAAACCGGAGCUAAUACCGGAUAAUAUUUAGCUUCGCAUGAAGCAAUAGUGAAAGACGGUUCUGCUGUCACUUAUAGAUGGACCCGCGGUGUAUUAGCUAGUUGGUGAGGUAACGGCUCACCAAGGCAACGAUACAUAGCCGACCUGAGAGGGUGAUCGGCCACACUGGGACUGAGGCACGGCCCAGACUCCUACGGGAGGCAGCAGUAGGGAAUCUUCCGCAAUGGACGAAAGUCUGACGGAGCAAUGCCGCGUGAGUGAAGAAGGUUUUCGGAUCGUAAAACUCUGUUGUAAGGGAAGAACAAGUACGUUAGUAACUGAACGUACCUUGACGGUACCUGACCAGAAAGCCACGGCUAACUACGUG